rnacentral:rRNA from 1 species
GGUGAACGCUGGCGGUAGGCCUAACACAUGCAAGUCGAACGGCAGCACAGUAAGAGCUUGCUCUUACGGGUGGCGAGUGGCGGACGGGGAGGAAUACAUCGGAAUCUACUUUUUCGUGGGGUAUAACGUAGGGAAACUUACUCUAAUACCACAUACUACCUACGGGUGAAAGCAGGUGAUCUUCGGACCUUGCGCGAUUGAAUGAGCCGAUGUCGGAUUAGCUAGUUGGCGGGGUAAAGGCCCACCAAGGCGACGAUCCGUAGCUGGUCUGAGAGGAUGAUCGGCCACACUGGAACUGAGACACGGUCCAGACUCCUACGGGAGGCAGCAGUGGGGAAUAUUGGACAAUGGGCGCAAGCCUGAUCCAGCCAUACCGCGUGAGUGAAGAAGGCCUUCGGGUUGUAAAGCCCUUUUGUUGGGAAAGAAAAGCAGCAGGUUAAUACCCCGCUGUUCUGACGGUACCCAAAGAAUAAGCACCGGCUAACUUCGUG